GGGGGGGGUUCUGUGUAGCCCUGGCUGUCCUGAAACUCACUCUAUAGACCAGGCUGGUCUAGAGUACACAGAGAUCCACCUGCCUCUGCCUCCUGAGUGUGCUGGGAUUAAAGAUUUGUGGGACCAUUUCCAGCCUGUUUUCUUUAAAAAAAAAAAAAAAAAUUCUUCCACAGGUUUAAAACAGCAUGCAGCUGAGUGGCUGCGAGUUACUGCUGGAGAAAUCAUAGUAUAAUCUCUCAGGCAGGGUCUCAUUAGCAUUGGCUGGUCUUAAGACUUGCUACAGACAGACCAAGGAGGACCUUAAACAUUUCAUUCUCCUGCCUCUACUUCCCUAGGGCUAAGAUUACAGACGUGCAUGCUUGUGCCUGGUUUACAUAGUGCUGGAGACUGGACCUAAAGCUUCAGGCACGCUAGGCAAGCACUCUACUAACUAAAUUGUAUCCCUAGCUCCCAAGAUACUCUCAUGUUUUCCCCCGCCUUGGCCUUCUAAUUAAGUAAAGCUUGGAUUACAUAAUUGUACGGAGUUCCAAGGUGUUUUGAAAAAAUGAAAGGUGAAGGCAAACAAUAAAAGGCUAUUUUUAAAACAAAAGGAACUACUGUGAUAUAUGAUAGACUCUCACACAUACAUGGUACAGUAAAAGGGCACUAGAAAUUAUUUUGCUAAAACUGGAGAGAACUAGAAAAGAAGGCUCUGUGCAACGCCCAGGGAUGAUGCUCACGUUAUUAAACAUCACGAAGACUUCACUGGACACUAUUGCUGUUCCUUUUCUCUUCUACACUGCUAAGAAAAGCAUCAUCUCCCCCAAUCCUGAGGAUCUUACUCUAAAGAACUUCAGUAUAUAUAAAAAUUUUAAAUUAAAAA
rnacentral:lncRNA from 1 species